ensembl:snoRNA SNORD14 Small nucleolar RNA SNORD14
UCACAAUGAUGAAUUGUCCAAACAUUCGCAGUUUCCACCAGAAUUUAACUUGUGUUGGCAUAGGUACCUUCCUUCCUUGGAUGUCUGAGUGA